AGAGUUUGAUCAUGGCUCAGAAUCAACGCUGGCGGCGCGCCUAACACAUGCAAGUCGCACGAGAAAGUGGAGCAAUCCAUGAGUACAGUGGCGUACGGGUGAGUAACACGUGGAUCAUCUGCCCUGGAGUGGGGAAUAACGCUGGGAAACCGGCGCUAAUACCGCAUAUUCCCGAGAGGGGAAAGCAGCAAUGCGCUCGAGGAGGAGUCCGCGGCCGAUUAGCUAGUUGGUAGGGUAAAAGCCUACCAAGGCUGUGAUCGGUAGCCGGCCUGAGAGGGCACACGGCCACACUGGCACUGAAACACGGGCCAGACUCCUACGGGAGGCAGCAGUGGGGAAUCUUGCACAAUGGGGGAAACCCUGAUGCAGCGACGCCGCGUGAGCGAUGAAGCCCUUCGGGGUGUAAAGCUCUUUCGGCAGGGACGAUUAUGACGGUACCUGCAGAAGCAGCUGCGGCUAACUACGUGCCAGCAGCCGCGGUAAUACGUAGGCAGCAAGCGUUGUUCGGAGUUACUGGGCGUAAAGGGUGUGUAGGCGGCCCGUUAAGUUCCGUGUGAAAUCUCCCGGCUCAACCGGGAGGGUGCGCGGAAAACUGGCGGGCUAGAGUACGGGAUGGGAGAGUAGAAUUCCUGGUGUAGCGGUGAAAUGCGUAGAUAUCAGGAGGAAUACCGGUGGUGUAGACGGCUCUCUGGACCGUAACUGACGCUGAAACACGAAAGCGUGGGUAGCAAACAGGAUUAGAUACCCUGGUAGUCCACGCCCUAAACGAUGCAUAUUUGGUGUAGGCAGUUCAUUCUGUCUGUGCCGGAGCUAACGCGUUAAAUAUGCCGCCUGGGGAGUACAGUCGCAAGGCUGAAACUCAAAGGAAUUGACGGGGCCCGCACAAGCGU
rnacentral:rRNA from 1 species